GUUAAUUUCUUUUUACCUUUUUUAAGUGACAAGAAUUCUUUGCAAGCUGAGCAUGGUGGCGCAUGCCUAUAAUCCCAGCCCUCGGAAGGCUGAAGCAGGAGGAUCACUGUGAGUUUGAAGACAGCCCUACACAGUGAGUUCAAGACCACGCUGAAUUGCAGAAUGAGACCCUAUCAAAACAAAAUUAUUUGCAAGGAAUUUCUUUUAAGUGACAUCCAUGUGAAGGUGAAAUUCAACAUCAAAGUGGACAAAGCAGAAUAAAAGUGCUGGCAUCCAGAGGCCAGGUGAUAUGGAAAUGCAGGUCAGGAAACGAGAUUCAGCAAGGACAUGAUUGGUCAAAGGAAAUGGAGAAAGAUCAGAAACUAAAUGGAUAUUUUCCAAUAAGAAGGAACACAAGGAAGCUGGGCAACCAAAGGAUUCGUUGUGUAUGGAAAGCAGG
rnacentral:lncRNA from 1 species